rnacentral:rRNA from 1 species
AUACGGAGGAUCCGAGCGUUAUCCGGAUUUAUUGGGUUUAAAGGGUGCGCAGGCGGCCAUUUAAGUCAGCGGUUAAAUCGUGGGGCUCAACCCCAUUCUGCCGUUGAUACUGGGUGGCUUGAUUGCGGUAGAGGUUGGCGGACUUCGUUGUGUAGCGGUGAAAUGCAUAGAUAUGACGAAGAACACCGAUUGCGUAGGCAGCUGACCAGACCGCAAAUGACGCUCAUGCACGAAAGUGCGGGGAUCGAACAGGAUUAGAUACCCUGGUAGUCCGCACAGUAAACGAUGAAUACUUGUUUUCGGCGAUAUAAUGUCGGAGGCAAAGCGAAAGCGAUAAGUAUUCCACCUGGGGAGUACGCCGGCAACGGUGAGACUCAAAGGAAUUGACGGGG